ACUUUUUUAGUAUAAUUAGUAUUACUGACUUCCAAUCAGUAGGCUCCGUGUAAAGCGGGAAAAAGUA
rnacentral:tRNA from 1 species